rnacentral:rRNA from 1 species
GACGAACGCUGGCGGCGUGCCUAAUACAUGCAAGUAGAACGCUGAAGAGAGGAGCUUGCUCUUCUUGGAUGAGUUGCGAACGGGUGAGUAACGCGUAGGUAACCUGCCUGGUAGCGGGGGAUAACUAUUGGAAACGAUAGCUAAUACCGCAUGAAAUGGAUUAUCGCAUGAUAAUUCAUUGAAAGGUGCAAAUGCAUCACUACCAGAUGGACCUGCGUUGUAUUAGCUAGUUGGUGGGGUAACGGCUCACCAAGGCGACGAUACAUAGCCGACCUGAGAGGGUGAUCGGCCACACUGGGACUGAGACACGGCCCAGACUCCUACGGGAGGCAGCAGUAGGGAAUCUUCGGCAAUGGACGGAAGUCUGACCGAGCAACGCCGCGUGAGUGAAGAAGGUUUUCGGAUCGUAAAGCUCUGUUGUAAGAGAAGAACGAGUGUGAGAGUGGAAAGUUCACACUGUGACGGUAUUUUACCAGAAAGGGACGGCUAACUACGUGCCAGCAGCCGCGGUAAUACGUAGGUCCCGAGCGUUGUCCGGAUUUAUUGGGCGUAAAGCGAGCGCAGGCGGUUAGAUAAGUCUGAAGUUAAAGGCUGUGGCUUAACCAUAGUACGCUUUGGAAACUGUUUAACUUGAGUGCAAGAGGGGAGAGUGGAAUUCCAUGUGUAGCGGUGAAAUGCGUAGAUAUAUGGAGGAACGCCGGUGGCGAAAGCGGCUCUCUGGCUUGUAACUGACGCUGAGGCUCGAAAGCGUGGGGAGCAAACAGG